rnacentral:rRNA from 1 species
UACGAACCGUGCGAACGUUAUUCGGAAUCACUGGGCUUAAAGCGCGUGUAGGCGGGAGGCCAAGUCUGUGGUGAAAUCGCUCGGCUUAACUGGGCGGGGUCCAUGGAAACUGGUCACCUGGAGGUCGGUAGAGGCAAGUGGAAUUCCCGGUGUAGUGGUGAAAUGCGUAGAGAUCGGGAGGAACACCAGUGGCGAAGGCGGCUUGCUGGGCCGGACCUGACGCUGAGACGCGAAGGCGUGGGGAGCGAACGGG